ensembl:lncRNA
UGCUGCUGCUCGGCUCGCCCACCCUGCGCUGCGUGCCCUCGGCGCAGCCCGCCAAGCCCGCCGUCUUCAUCUUCGAGCACAAGGCGCAGCACAUCGCCCGCUUCGUGCACAACAGCCACGACCUCACCUACUUCGCCUACCUCAUCAAGGCGCAGCCCGACAACCCCGAGUCCCGCAUGGCCUGCCACGUCUUCCGGGCCACCGACCCCAACCAGGAGCCUGGCCUCAUUCAGUGUACAGAAUGGAUGGUGACAGCUUACUGUGCAGUUACUCAGCAAUUUAUUUUUUUCUCAUUUUGCAUUUCUUCCCCUAGCUGUGCUUCUCUUCAUUCCUUGCCCAUAUUUCCUGUCUUUGCUGUCACCAUAUUGCAAAUUCAGUUUAUUUCUCAGGCUCACUGUCUAGCCAGUCUUCUCUUCUUCUCUUCUACCGUGUUAUCAGUUUCUCUCUCCUUUAAUUUUCCUUCCCCAUAGGGUCUCAGUCUCACCCUCCCUUGACAACUCCUCAUCUAACUUCAGUGUUCUCCUCUUCACAUAUUAACUUCUAAACCCAGUCUUCCUGCCCAAUUAGUUCAAGUUCCCCAACUCUACCUUUCCAUGUAAACCCCUAGGCUCAAUCUACUUUUCGCCUCUUCAUUUUUGAGCCCAGUUUUUUUCUUUGAGCCCAGCUUUUUCUCCUGCCCAGGCAGGGGAUCGGACUUGAAGAUCUACAAGCUCCCUUCCAACUUCUGUGAUUCUAUGAUAAAAUCUCUAGUCUCAGUUUACUUUCCCUUCUUCUCCUUUAACAGAUCUCAGUCUUUUGCCCCCUCCAUUUGAACCAGGCAGCCUCUCUUUCACUCUGGGAGACCACUGUGAUGAGUGCGUAGACCUAACAUAAUCCACAUGAACCUAGAGCUGCAAUUGCAGGCAGAGAGUCCUGUUGAGCCUUGGCAGGAGCAUGUCCAAUGUAAGCAGAACCCCUUUAAGGAAAUCUAAUGAUAAAAUCUAAGUGAUCACUGCUGAGCAUGUUUGUAUUACAGUUGUUUCAGAAAUUUAACUUAGUUAAAUCCGUGGGAGAAGAAAAAGGCACAAAGUCAUCCCCUGCCAGGUUACAAGUCACUAUUCCAAAGCAGCUGGGUGCUUCAAGUAAAGGAAUUCAACAUGGGCAAAAAUUGUAUUUUUCCCUUAACUGCUUGGACAUGACUGAACCAUUUUGGCAGGAAGUUUCAAGAAAAAAUUCCGUCUGAGGUGCACAGUUCAGACACUUUUGGCAAAGUUUUAAGUAAUUGAAAGUAUGGUGUCACAGUGAGAUGUGUUGGGCAACAUGAUCAUCCUAUCGUUCCGGCAACAACAUGCCCGUGCUUGAUUUUAAACUUGUCGAUAAUCCUGUUAACCUCGGUGGCUCUUCCCAUGCAGUAAUGUAAACAUCUCACCUGAUUAAAGAAUAGCAUGUGUGAAAUAGUAUCCAAAAAUGGGGCAUUUCUGAGGCAGAAUAUGGUUGAAAAACUGUUGUGCCAUAUUUUAAAUUACCUCAUUUAAACAAUACUAAUUUUUUUCUUCUGUUAUUUUAAGAUCUGAUAUAUACUACCUUGUUCUAGAUAACAUACUUUCAUCUUUCACUUCAAAAGCGGUGUGAGUUUUACUGAAAAUGUGGGAAAAGCAAUGAUGAAAAAGUAAUGAAGCUGAACAUGUCAUUGAUUUAAUGAAGCCUGGAAUGCAGAUUUGUGGAAAUAAAGUUACUGUUAAACUCA